rnacentral:snoRNA from 1 species
GCCUGGUGGUUCCUAGAGUCAGCUCCAUAGUGCUGAACUGUGGGGUGUUAUUAACAGGCGCAUAGUGAGUCUGCAAUUUUAUGCAUGGAAGCUACCGCUAUAGUAGCAAUCCAUAGCCCGGUUGCAGAGACAUUU